UAUAUGCUCAUGUGUAUAAUGCGAUUAUAACAACUACCUGUUUGGAAGCACUCAAUUUUGAAUUUCAAAUCUUCAGUUUCUAUCCAUGAACAUGGUAACUACUGCAUCUACUCCUCGGUCAAGAAAUUUGGAUUUAUAACAUUUUUCAAGUUUUGCAGUUAAAUUUUAGAGAUGGCUUUUUGAUCGUUGUUCGAAUUCAAAAUCCACAAUCAGGCUAUAUGUAGCAGAAGAUGAAGAUGAAGAAUAAGGGACACAGACAUGAAGAGAGUUCAUGUCAAUUUUAUGUUAAGGUUAUGCAAGUGGAAGAAUAAAUGAAAGGGGGACCUCUUACGGGUGUUUUCUUGUCGAGCAUUAAAGCUUUAUUGUCUAGUAUUCUCGGUCAUUCCGGUCAUUUCUGCAUGUUCGGGGGUUAGAUGGUAAACUUUCUUGAAUGAAAGAAACCCCUGGCAACGGCUAUUGUACUAUGCUACAAUUCUUUAUACGAGAAAGUAUCAAAGUGACAAAAAAAAAUCUUAACGAUAUAAUUUAAAGAUAUUAGGUAAAUAUAUUGUAUUU